UCUCUCUCUCUUGGUGGUUGGCCAUGGGUUUAACUGUGAUGGGGGUGCACCAUGAGAAGCUGAAGCUGCCAGCAUGAUCUGAGAAGUACUCCAUCCUCCCUAUCUUCUGGAUCUUGGAUGAAGUCAUGCAGAUCAUGUUGCAGCUUCAUCUACUGGUGGGAGCACCAAAAGAGCACAGAGAAGACUCAGCCUACUUUUUCUUUCUUUCUCCUUUUAACCUAAUAAUUAAGGUUUCAUGGGAAGUAAAUGGGAUGGUUGCUGAUCUUGACUCGCUUGGCAUGACGAAUCUGGGAAGUAAAUGAGAUGUUUGCUGAUCUUGAUUUCCUUACCAUGUUGGAUUCAUGGGUAUUGUGCUUGUUUCUAUUCUGAUACUGUUGAUACCUUGUGACAACAAAGAAGACCCCUAAUCAUGUAAAGAGGAAUGGGAUGGCUUGGCUCUCAUUUUGUUGGUGCCUUUGAGAUCUCGACCUUGGAAGAGAACCAAGGCAUCCUACCCUGUGAGUACUUGUUUUGUUCUAUGAAUCGUUUCGGCUGCCAUAUUUUAUGCAAUGUUCUCUUGACAAUGGGUCUCUAUACCAAUAUCUAGGAAGAUUUACAGGUUAUAACAUCAUCUCUUGCACGCACAAAUUUAUGUAUGUGCUCAUUACUUGACUUCAUGACUGCUACUAAUUUUAAUCCAACUUGCAUGCAUAAGAUUCUUCUUAUUUGCUCUCAGAAUAAUCUCGAAAGAUCUGAACCAUUUUGAGCACCAACAUCUUUGCAUGACCUAAAAUUUCAAAAUUGGGAAUUGUGUGAUGAAAAGCAUGGAAUUAGCAGAGCUGCAUUUUUUUUUUUUUUGCAUUAGAAUGGAGAUUUUUAUUUUUGUGUAGUAUUUAUAUGAAUCUGAGUACCUAAAGAACUCAAGAUUUGUCAUAGAUUUCAACUUCUUUUCAUUUUGUUUUUGAAGCUUCCCAUGGCCAGAAGAUUAGGUAAGUAGGUAGGGUCUUCUCCUGUUGUUUUUGGCCCCCCUCUCUCUCUCUCUCUCUCUUUAUAUUCUUUUUAAGGUACAUAUAUGUGGCUUUCUUUAUAAAGAACAGCAAUUUGAAUUAACCUCUCAAUUGAAAGAUUAUAAUCAAUGUUAAUUUGUUGAUUAUUCAACGACACUCGUUCCUUUCCUUUCAACUCUUUUCUCUUGCUUGUUGCUUGCAGCAGUUCGACUUGCUUUCCUCUCCUUGGAAGCUACAUGGGUGCCAAGGAAAUCCAGCUAUAUUAGCAUGAUUUGUUUGGUGCCCUCGUAGCUUUUAAUGCCCGAUUCACUGGUGGAGGACACAUGUUGAACUGUUCCCAUCCAUGUAGCGUUUGUCUCAUGCAGCCUCACCGUUUGGUUGCAUGGAGUCCAGAACCUGUGGAGCCUCAGUUGAGCUUAGCACCAAAAUGGUAUGGCUAUGUAUGUUCAUAUAUGACUGCAAAAGCUUCUCCCCAUGGCUCUUGUUAUGUUUGGUUCCAUGGCAGUGGCUUGGGCAUCUAAACACAAAAGGGAUGCCGAAAGGGAGAGAUGACUGCAAGGAGUAAAAAGGAGUUGAUGCAAUUGAGGAAAGUGAUCUGUCCCUGAGAAUUGAAGUCCCAUUGUAAGGUGAGAAAGUCAUAUGUCUUUUUCUUUGCUGAUGUUACAGACAGUAGUACUUAAUUGGUUUCUCAAACUUUGUGGAACUGUUGAUGGAUUCCAUCAACAACUUGCCCAACAUCUAAUUGACACUCCAGGAAUUGCUGCCAUGAGACAUGCAGACCAUGAUCGGUUUGAAGUACACAGACAGAGUUCAGAGACAAAACUUGCUGUAUAGAUUUAUCACACAGCAGAUGCAGCUUACACAAAACUAUAGCAAGAAAUGUUCUUGCAGCGGCAGAUACAUGUACUCUGAACCAGCAAAGAAGCAAUCUUACCCUUCUAAUAGUUACUUCGAUCCAUGAACAGUGAGUGCAGUAUUAGCAUAACCUGAUGAAACCAAAGCUACAUUUCAGCAGAGGAGGAAGCCAUGUCCAAACUGACGGACAAGAACUGCGACACAGAUCGAGAGAGGUGCUGUAGCCAUGGACCAACUUGUCAUGGAUUAUAGUUCCAGGUUGGUUGGUUGAUAGCAACUCCACAACCGAAAGAUCUUACGGAGGUGAUACACAGGGACACAGAAAACUGUAGCUUGGAUUUUGCUUCACAGUGCCAAGUUGUUCCACCGGCAUCAUCCAAAAGAAUCAGAAACCAUGUCUGGCAUUCUUCCCUAGCGUGGAAGGUGUAAUGAGAUCAUGUACUGCUCUCAACCCAAACGCUUCUUUCUAUACUUUGCAACGAGCAUUAUAUUCUAUACAUCACAAACUUUAUCUGUGCAUA